rnacentral:hammerhead_ribozyme from 1 species
AUCCAGCAGACGAGUCCCAAAUAGGACGAAACGUGCGUCUUGGAU